GUGGGAGGGGGCUUGCUUCCGAUGGCGGUGGCUCAGUCAGUAAAGUUGUGACUGAACUACAGCUAUCGGGGGCAAGCCCCCUCCCAC
rnacentral:misc_RNA from 1 species